rnacentral:rRNA from 1 species
CCUACGGGAGGCAGCAGUGAGGAAUAUUGGUCAAUGGGCGAGAGCCUGAACCAGCCAAGUAGCGUGAAGGAAGACGGUCCUAAGUGUUGUAAACCUCUUUUACCAGGGAACAAAGGCGGCCACGGGUGGCCUUAAGAGUGUACCUGAAGAAAAAGCAUCGGCUAACUCCGUGCCAGCAGCCGCGGUAAUACGGAGGAUGCGAGCGUUAUCCGGAUUUAUUGGGUUUAAAGGGUGCGCAGGCGGCGUGUCAAGUCAGCGGUAAAAUGUCGGGGCUCAACCCCGGCCGGCCGUUGAAACUGGCGUGCUUGAGUUGGAGAGAAGUAGGCGGAAUUCGUGGUGUAGCGGUGAAAUGCAUAGAUAUCACGAAGAACCCCGAUUGCGAAGGCAGUAUACCGGCCUCACACUGACGCUGAGGCACGAAAGUGUGGGUAUCGAACAGGAUUAGAUACCCUUGUAGUC